UGUUAAAAAUUUCAUUCGUUUGUAUUGUUAAAAACUGGUGUAAUUGACAGAAUAACCAGAUAAUAACACGCAGCAUGCCUCGUAUAUUUCAUGCUGACAUAAAAACUAAUUUUGUAAUAGUAGAAAUAAAUGAAAUUUUUAAUA
rfam:Gossypium hirsutum cultivar TM-1 unplaced genomic scaffold scaffold26.1, whole genome shotgun sequence